GAUCUGGACAUGUUUGUGCC
rnacentral:miRNA from 1 species